GCACCAGUAGCUCAGCUGGAUAGAGCGCUGCCCUCCGAAGGCAGAGGUCGCAGGUUCGACUCCUGCCUGGUGUACCA
rnacentral:tRNA from 1 species